rnacentral:pre_miRNA from 1 species
GAGAUACUCCCUCCGUUCCAAAUUACUCGUCGCAAAAAUGGAUGUAUCUAGAACUAAAAUACAUCUAGAUACAUCCAUUUCUGCGACAAGUAAUUCGGAACGGAGGGAGUAGCAA